GAUGAACGCUGGCAGCGUGCCUAAUACAUGCAAGUCGGACGGUGUGUCGGAAACGGCACAUAGUGGCGAACGGGUGAGUAACGCGUUGGUGACCUGCCCUUUAGCGUGGGAUAACAGUCCGAAAGGAUUGCUAAUACCGCAUGAGCUCGUGAGGAUUAGAAGCUUACGAGGGAAGCCGGACGCUCCGAGAGGAGUGCUGGCGCUGAAGGAGGGGCCUGCGACCCAUCAGCUAGUUGGUAGGGUAACGGCCUACCAAGGCGAUGACGGGUAGGGGACCUGAGAGGGUGGCCCCCCACAAUGGAACUGAAACACGGUCCAUACACCUACGGGUGGCAGCAGUAGGGGAUAUUGGUAAUGUGCGAAAGCGCGAACCAGCAACGCCGCGUGUGCGAAGAAGGCCUUCGGGUUGUAAAGCACUUUUUACCGGGAAGAGGAAGGACGGUACCGGUAGAAUAAGCCUCGGCUAACUACGUGCCAGCCGCCGCGGUAAGAC
rnacentral:rRNA from 1 species